rnacentral:lncRNA from 1 species
UUGCAAGAGGCGCUCGGAACGCGUGCACGAGCUCCACCACGGAGCAGGCUUGUUUUCCCCAGGGGUGCAGCACUCCCUUUUUCCCCUCACCAGCAUCGCGGCAGCCACGCCUCCCUGCCCCACCCUCUUUGGGUGCGGAGAGUUAUCCGGGCUCGAACUUGGCUCUUCGCGAUCCUGCCCUGCCCUGCCCCGCACAGCGGGGUCGGCAAAGGGCACCGCAGAACCCCGUCCUCCCGCCACCGAGAGCCCCAGCAGCCACCCGCCGGAGCUCCGAAGGCACGCACAGGCCUGCGCAGGCGCGCCGGCCUUGGCAGCAGCCGCUUCCGGGUCACGUGGCCCGACUUCCGGCCCAGACCACCCCUCUCGGUAGGGACGCGGCCAAUCGGCUUUCUCGGACGGUGCGAUCGCCCGCGCCGCCUCCGGUGCCGUUGGCGACGGCCUAGCGGGUUCCCGCGCGUCGUCCAGCCCGCCCCUCCGCUCGCCGCAGCCCCGGCUCCUCCCUCGUCCGGCCCACGGGGCGGGGUCUGUCGGCUCGCCCUCCCCUCGCCGCCUAAGCCUUUCCUCCGCCGGCUGGGUCCCCUCCCCACAGCAACACGGCUUCUCUUCCAGCGCUCGGCGACAGGGGCUUCCCCUCAGCCGCCGCCGGCACCGCCGCCGCCGCCGCCGCCGCCGCCGCCGGCCGAGCUCCGCCGCGCCCGCGGCCGCGGCCGCCGUAAGUCCCGGGGGGCAAGCGGGGGCGUCGAGGACAGGGAGCCGGGAGGGAGGGUCGGGCGCGCCCUCCGCCGCCCCGCGGGCGCCCCGACGACCCCACCCGGUGCCUGGCCGCCCGGCCCGCCAGUGGCUCGCGGCGCCCGGCAACUCACUUCUCUCGGUGUCCGCGCCCCUCUCCACUCCGCGCCGCGCCGGGGGAUGCGGGGGGCCCCGCGGCACCUGUGGUUCGGGAAUCACCUCAAGUUUUGCGGGGCAUUUUCGGGAGGGGCCCGCGGCCGGGGCGGGGGCGGCGGAGGACCCUUGGCGCCCCCUGCGCGGCGGCGAAUGCCAUUGUCUGCCCCGCUCCUAGCCUGUCACCUCACGCGGGCUCGGUCAGUGAUGGAGCGCGGCCCCGUGGGGCGGUGGGGGGGCGUCGGACGCGGCCGGACCGAGGAACGCUGGCCCUGA